rnacentral:rRNA from 1 species
UACGUAGGGCGCAAGCGUUGUCCGGAAUUAUUGGGCGUAAAGAGCUCGUAGGCGGCCUGUUGCGUCCGCUGUGAAAGCCCGGGGCUUAACCCCGGGUCGGCAGUGGAUACGGGCAGGCUAGAGGUAGGUAGGGGAGAAUGGAAUUCCCGGUGUAGCGGUGAAAUGCGUAGAGAUGCGGCGGAACACCGAUGGCGAAGGCAGCCCCCUGGGCUGAGAUUGACGCUCAGGCACGAAAGCGUGGGGAGCAAACAGG